AAUAGGGUGUCUGAUUUAGGUAAUAAAUUGUAAAUUUAUUUAAGGUUUUUAACCUCCUGUUA
rnacentral:tRNA from 1 species